rnacentral:rRNA from 1 species
GACGAACGCUGGCGGCGUGGAUUAGGCAUGCAAGUCGAACGGUAUCAUCCUUUCGGGGGUGAGAGAGUGGCGAACUGGUGAGUAACACGUAGGUUAUCUACCCUCAAGACGGGGACAACCCAGGGAAACUUGGGCUAAUACCGGAUGUGAGCAACUUUUAGUUGUUUGAAAGGUGGCGUAAGCUGUCGCUUGGGGAUGAGCCUGCGUCCUAUUAGUUAGUUGGUGAGGUAACGGCUCACCUAGGCAAUGAUAGGUAGGCGGCCUUAACGGGUGGUCGCCCCACACUGGGAUUGAGAUACGGCCCAGACUCCUACGGGAGGCAGCAGUCGAGAAUAGUCUACAAUGGUCGGAAGACUGAUAGUGCGACGCCGCGUGAACGAUGAAUCCCUUCGGGGUGUAAAGUUCUUUUAUAUGUGAGCAGUGCUUCUUAUAUUAACAGUAUGGGGAGAGAGAUAUUAGCAUAUGAAUAAGCAACGGCUAACUCCGUGCCAGCAGCCGCGGUAAACACG